rnacentral:rRNA from 1 species
UAUAACCGGCGAUACCCGAAUGGGGAAACCCAGUGUGACUCGUCACACUAUCAUUAACUGAAUCCAUAGGUUAAUGAGGCGAACCGGGGGAACUGAAACAUCUAAGUACCCCGAGGAAAAGAAAUCAACCGAGAUUCCCCCAGUAGCGGCGAGCGAACGGGGAGGAGCCCAGAGCCUGAAUCAGCAUGUGUGUUAGUGGAAGCGUCUGGAAAGGCGCGCGAUACAGGGUGACAGCCCCGUACACAAAAGCGCAUGUGCUGUGAGCUCGAUGAGUAGGGCGGGACACGUGGUAUCCUGUCUGAAUAUGGGGGGACCAUCCUCCAAGGCUAAAUACUCCUGACUGACCGAUAGUGAACCAGUACCGUGAGGGAAAGGCGAAAAGAACCCCGGCGAGGGGAGUGAAAAAGAACCUGAAACCGUGUACGUACAAGCAGUGGGAGCACAGGUUUACCUGUGUGACUGCGUA